ensembl:lncRNA
AUGUUUUUGGAACAUCUUGUACUCCAACAGGUCUCAAAUCACCUCGCACUCUGCGGAGACAGCACCCAGGGAUCUCUUCCCCAGGCAGCGCAGCACGGCCUCGGCAGGAAGCUGAACAGCGCCCAGCAGCUAAAAUCAAGUGUUUCCGAGCAGAGGGUAGCGAGCUGGGUGCUCUCAGAUUUCCAGUAUGGACCAUCAUCAUUCAGAUUUAAUUGGGCCAGAGGCUGCUCUAACUCAUCAGCUGAAAUAUACUUCUUCAAGAAGCUUGGCCAUGGAGACUACCAUUUAAUAAAUAUCUUCAAUUUCCCAGCAGCUUUGCCUUGUCUUGAGCAUGCACAAUGGGAAAGGAAAGGCCCAGGAGUUACCAACUGCUCAGUAAAGGAGAAAGAACAUUUCUGUGUCUUCCAUGGAACAGUGCAACAACAAAGAAGAAAAGCAUGUGUUGUAUUUAUUAUUAACCAGGACAACAAAAGGUGAGGAAGCCCCAAGAUUAACAGAAACAAAAAAAAAUUAUCUGACAUGUGAUGGUCACAAUAACUACAUGGAAAAAACCCCACCAUGUAUUUCAAUUCCAGUUAAAUAAAAGCCUGUUUCUGCC